UUCAGCUUUCUCCUCUCCUGGCUUCCAAACUCUGCCCAGGUUCUCCAAUGUCCGAAUUCCAAACAUGAUGACCUGCUCUACUGGCAAGACCUCUGAGAGAAAUAGAAUAACAAGCCACAGUCCUGGUGGUUCUUCUUUUCUUCAAGUAAUGGAGCAGAAACACGCGAAGGUGACAGCUACUGGUUUCAGAAAGAUCAUAUGCACUUCUUCGUGUUCAUGUUACUUUUCUCUCUCAAGUGAAAUUGAAGAUUGAGCCAUCUGUAAACUCCGUCCUCCUGUUCAAGGAAGACCCCCAACGCUGCAUGAUAUGGACGGACAAGGCCAGAAGGCCGGGGGCCAAGUAUGACGGAUUAGCCGGGUUCCUUGGGAAACCUAGUCUGAUGAUCACAGAACCUGGAGAAAGGAGAGUCCUUGGGUUCACUGUGAUGUCACCACUGGCAGCUGGGCGAUCGGGAGAGCUGCUCCUCCUCUCAGAACCUUGU